AAACGUAGGAGGCGAGCGUUAUCCGGAUUUACUGGGCGUAAAGCGCGUGCAGGCGGAUUGGAGAGUUGGAUGUGAAAGCUCCCGGCUUAACUGGGAGAGGUCGUUCAAUACUUCCAGUCUUGAGUGCAGUAGAGGGAAGUGGAAUUCCGGGUGUAGUGGUGAAAUGCGUAGAUAUCCGGAGGAACACCAGUGGCGAAAGCGGCUUCCUGGACUGUAACUGACGCUCAGACGCGAAAGCUAGGGUAGC
rnacentral:rRNA from 1 species